rnacentral:tRNA from 1 species
UGGGCCAUCCUGGACUUGAACCAGAGACCUCGCCCUCAGGGGCGCGCUCUACCACUGAGCUAAUAGCCC